UGUAAUAACUAAACGAGCUGGUGCUGAGGGCACACACGACAGAGAUAGCAGCUUUUUGUGUGAUGCUUUUUCAUCGUGCGGACAGGGAGCCACGGUGAUUGAAUCUCACUGAGCCGUUACACAAAAACCUCCUCACUUUAACGUCCAUUGUGUAGACGGCUGCAGCAGCUCAGGGCGCCUGUCAGAGCAGGAAAUCAAGUCAGCUGAAGGCAGGCAGAAUGCCCUGAAAAAUCAUUGUUAUUGCAGACAACCUUAGCUGUAACCCUCAACAUGUUUUAGUAAAAGAUCUUUGACUUCAUGUGGAGCGUUUGGAAGAUGUGCUGUUUACCUUGUGUAAAGGUAAACAGAUCAGAGAACCUGAGGCUCAGUCAGCAGGCUAAAAACUUUCUCAUUACUGGGAUUAUCACAAGCUGCCAUCAUAAAAAGGUCGUGGCUGUCUGGUGGACGAGAGUCUCUGUGUAACACUGCAGCUGAAGCUUACUUUGGAAAAGGAAAUAAACUGAGUGUUUUAGGUGAGUGGAAGAUGAUUCUAAUAGGAUAAAAUAAUUACCUAUGAGUGUUGUUGUUGUUUAUAGAUCAUAGAUUAUUCACAGUAGAUGUCCAGCUCGCUUCUUUAUGUUAUUAAGAUGGCGCGCUGUGCCAAUAACGAAGCUCAUUUUGGCCAGGGAACAAAACUGACUGUUCUGGGUGUGUAAGACUUUAAAUGUAAACAUAACCAGCUGAAGACAGCUAGAGGGUACAGAAGGGAAGUUAAAGUAACACCUUUAGUGUAGAAAUCCUUCUAACUAAACCAGGUCUGUAACAAAUUCAGCUGUCUGGUGUCAGAACCCAGAUCCUUUUAGUCCAAGAACCAAACCCACUGUAAAUAAAAAGCAGCUGAUGGCUGUUUUCAGCACUGAUCAUGUCCAGUGUGAGUGGUGAGCCAUACUUUGGUGACUGAACCAAAUGAACCUUUUAAAUGUCGUAAAGCAGGGUGGGGAACUCUGGUCCUUGAAGACCAGCAGGUCUUGGUUGUUCCUCUGCUCCAACACUCCUGAUUCCUCGGUUGAUUCACCCGUUCAGCAGCUCAUCGAGCUCUGCAGAAGGACUGCUAAUAUCAGGAGAGGGAGAACGUUUAAUGGAUGGCGGUAGAUUCAGAAGGUUAGAGGUGACGUUCUUACUUUACAGUUGGUGAUAAAGCUGUAGUAUUUUUCGAGCACGAGACAGAGAGAUUUUGCUCCAGUCUGGCGUCUCUGUACUCCAACAAUGAGGCUCACUUUGGAGCUGGAACCAAACUCACUGUUUUAGGUUAGAAAACUUCUAACAAACUCAGAUCAAGCUCACUCUCAGGUCAGAGAAUAUUAGACAUCUGAUAUCCACCCUGAGACUGGGGGAUCGUGGGUUCAAAUCCACCGUUGGGUCAUACCAAAGACUUUUAAAAAUGGGACCCAAUCCAUCCCUGCAGGACAGUCAGCAUUAAGGGGUUCGUAUGAGGGCUGAAUAGUAGCCGUGUCUGUAGCUCACCACUGGCCCAGGUGAUGGGAGAACAGAUUUCACCAGUGUGUGACGACUAAUAAGACUUCAACUUGAACAAAGUCAGUCAAGUUAUAAUGAAAAAGUUCAUUUCAGCAUUUAUUUGUGCCAGGAAAUGAAAGUUGUUUCUGUGCAGAAGGAUUGGCUCAUCACCCGGAUCACUGUCAGUUCUAAUCAGCUCUGUGAACGACUUUGAGUCACCAGUCAGAAGCUUAUUGGAGGUGGAACUAAACUCACAGUUUUAGGGAAGAAAGUUCAACAUUUGCAAGAAUUACUGGACGGAAAUGAGAAAAGACAUUUAUCUUUUUAGAAUUAGAAAACAGCACAAACAAAUUCUGUCAAAGCUUUAUUUCAGUGUGAUUUUACAAACAGAGUUUGUUUAGUUUGUCUGUAAAACAUCUGAAAAACACAGAAAGCAUUCAGAGCUGAAAGUCUGAGGUGUUUGUGGUGCAGAUGUUUGUCAGUGUGAACUAUGAUCCUUACGCUGCAGCUGGAACUAAACUCACAGUUACAGGUGAGUGUUUCUAACGUUUGUAAGGAUGUGAUGCAAAUGCAGGUUUGAUGAGAACAUUGUUUGGAGAAAUAUAUAUAUAUAUAUAUAAAAUAACAAACGCCAGUAUAAUAAAUAAUUAGAUUUUAAUUCAAUAAAACCCAUCUCUUCUGACACACACACGCACACUCACGUACGCACACAUGCACACACACACGUUUAAUGAGCAUAGUGACUUUGAUCAUGAAAGAAACUUUCAUCUAACUUUUUUUCUCUCCUCUUUCAGAACCAGGCCUUGAGGUCACAGAACCAUCUGUCGAAGUUCUCAAACCUUCAGCUAAAGAGUGCAAAGACAAAAACAAGAAAAGGAAGAAGACUCUGGUUUGUGUUGCCUCUCAAUUCUACCCAGAUCACGUCAGCAUGUCCUGGAGGCUUAAUGGGGUCCAAACAGAUAAAGGUGUGGUGACAGGAAGAGCGAUCAGACGGCCUGAUAAGUCCUACGGCAUCACCAGCAGGCUGAAGGUCCAGGCUAAGGACUGGUUCAGACCUGGAAAUAAUUUCACCUGCAUGGUCGGCUUCUACAAUGGAAACAAAACCACCUUUCAUUCUGGUUCAGUUAUUUCAACUGACAGAGAUAACGGCAUGACUCGAGAUAAAUACCUGAGGAUCACUCAGAACGCCAAACUCUCCUACGUCGUUUUGAUUGUGAAGAGUAGCAUCUACGGCGCCGCUGUUUGCCUUCUGGUGUGGAAGCUUCAGAGUUCAGCUGGAGAGCAGAACAAGUGAGAUUUGAGCUGAAGUCUGGACAAACCAACAAGCUUCAGGAGUUGCAUCUUUGUUUAUGUACAUAAAAUCUAGAAAACAUAACAUCAAGUUUGUGUUUUUGAGAAUUUGGCUGAUUAAACCCUUCAGAUCUUAUGAACCUGUGUUUUAUUCUUAAAUAAACUGAUACGUUUCCAUUACUGACUUUGUGAUCAAAAAUAACUCUUUAGCAUGGUGCAGUUCAGAGCAGGUACUGCUACUACGGAAGCCCACACGCAUCAAAAGGCCUGAUGUCAUCAAAGACAGGCGUGUUCUUUAUGAAUAAAAUAAGCUUGAUAGUAUAAUCAUUUGCCAAUCUCUUAUGCCUAACCCACAAUCAAUUAUCUUAGCAAUUUAAGCAGUUAGUAAACAUUUUAAAUUAUGACUGUUAUGGUAACUUACCAGUCCAGAAGGAAGCAGGCAGGUUCUCUCAGGCCG